AGCGCCUGCAUAUACUCAGCAUAUCAAAAUGUCUUUUAACCCAACCGACCAUUUUCAGUUUGUGAUUUUUCCAAUUAUUUGAGUAGACCUGGAAGGGAUCUGAUCACUUGCGGAUGUUAACAAUGCAAGUUGACAAGUGGGGAAAAGUUAUUCAUUCCAUAAAGAAACGUAAGGGUUCAAAUACUUUGAAUAGGUCACCACCAUCAACUACAUGGCUAGGAGAUAAGUCAAUGAGAAUCCAGAGAAUUAGUGUCUAAUCCUUAACUGCGCUGGAAUAAUCAAUCAAAACUAAUGGAUAAAUAAAGAGGAAGGAACCUAUCCAGGCCAAUCAUUACUCUCUCACUCAACCCCAACUGGAGUACCCUUGCCUGCAGCAGUAUUCCUGGCUUUGAAAGUCAUCAAGCUGAUUUGUCUGCUCUGGGUUACGAUGCCACAUGCUGCUAUACUGUCCCCUGCAAUCAAAGCACUUGCAAAGAUAGAUUCCAUGCCUUCCUCUAUCGAGUAUAUUUUAUAGAUUGGCAGUUUUGAUCUCCCUCCCCCACCCCAGGGGGGAUAAUCUGCAUCUUAACAGCUUUCUAUAGAUACAUCUGUCAUUAAAUAUGCCAUCUCAUAUCAGCAUCCAUUUUUAAAACCAAGUUUUCUCUAACUUUGAAGUGCCACAGUGAAAGUUAAGACUUUUCAGCCAAAAUUGAAAAUGAGCAACCCUGUCUUAUACUUUUGAACUGUGACUUAAAGAUAUACCGCAGGUUCCCCCAAAGUCAAAUAAGUCUUUAAAAACUGCCAGAAGGAAUGAUAAGUUACCGCCAUGCUACCAGCAGUGAGAAAUGCUUUCUAUCAUCAAGACAGGAGCAAAGCAUUUUUCUUAAGCUUCCCUGUACAACUCGCCACAAAAUAUUGUGACAAAUGGAUGAGUGCAUACUGGAGAGAUGACAAGCGACUGCCAAACAAGCAACGUUUGUCUCUGCUACUGAGAUCACUGAUCUCAAACUCAUAUUCUACUCCAAAGCAACGACUGGUCAAUGCUGACAGUGCUCAUGAAAUAGAGUGUAUAGAAAACUUCUCUCACUGUACUUAGUCAGACUGGGUCAAGUCUGAUGGCUCUGCUAAUUUUUUUUUUAAUGACAGAAAAUACCUCUGUUGAUAAAUAGAGGGUCCUACACUAAACUCCACGAGUAGAUGCCAGUGGUUCCUAAUGCAGUGCUAAUGCACAACCAGGACAGAGUGGGGUGCAAAGAACUGAUCUCUACACGCAGGGUGGAGCCUGCUCCAGGUUGGAAUUCUGCCAGCAAAUUCAGGAUUGAGGAAAAUCAUCUAAAGUUCUCGGCAACUGUCUUGGAGACCUGCAGUGGACAGGUUCACAGUAGUCUAAGGGAAGAGUUUCAGGACAGGCUAUGGCAUUAACAUGGGUCCUAUAUGACUGUAUCCUUGGGGAAGCCAUUUAACACAGCCACGCUCAGCUUCCUCAUAUGCAAAACAGAGAUGAUGAUAUCUUCCCUACAGGUUUCAGAUGAAUUAGAGUGCGUGGCAUAGAGACAAUCCACAGAGGGAAGUUUAUUACAGUCCUGUAGCUGUUUAUAAAAAUUUCUUACCAUUUCCAUGGAAGAUAAUGACUAUAUGUGAAACACUGAAUUAAGAUAUGAAUUGUAUAGUGUGAAAUAGAUUUCUUAUAAUUAUUUUUUCUGAUAACCAGAAUUACCAGCUUUUUUUCAGUGUCCAAGGCCUUUUUCCUUUAAUAGUUUAAGCCCCUCUCUUCUAUAACUUUCUCCAACUUUUGAAAGACUAAAACUUCAUACUUACAAUUACCUAAAGAACAACCUAGCAUUAAGUAUGAGUUAAUAUUAGUUACUGUUUAUAGAACUACACUCAUUAUCAGCCCUUGAUAAAAGUAAUAACAUAAGAAUAUUUAUAAUAAAUGCAAAACCAAACUUAAUAUCUAUUUUUGUAUGAAAUUAAGAAAUAUUUAUA